CCAAAAGAAUUUGCUUGGGCACUGAAACUUUAUUGUUAUCACCGAAUUAUUUUUCCACUGGAAAGUGGAGAGAACUUAGGUGAAAGGCUGGGAGGUCUUUUGCUCCACUAAUUGCCAUGGCAAAAGAAGUAUAAAGUCUUUGAGCUUAAACUCUCUGGUUUGAAUAUAAAUUUUCCUAGCCGAAUUGAAUAGCAAGAAGUCCAAAUUGGAGUUGCUAAUAAAUGCAGAUAUUAUGUUAUUGAAUGAAAUAAGACCCAAAUACCUUGAAUAUCAAGUGCUUAAACGUCAAUGUGGACUGUUAUGAACGUUAAUGAUUCUGACUUGCAUUAAUGCCCAGGUGGAGGGUCUUCCUAUUUCAGCCCAAGGAUGCACUGUUAAGAAUACAAUUUCAUUUUCCACAGAACAAAGUGUGCUUUGUACACUUGCUGAUGCCAUUUGUAGCUGGGAAGAACUUUCUCGGAUUGCUUUGGAAUGAUGAAGAGUGUGUCUCUCAUCCAAGAACUGAAAUGAUACCUUCAGGAAAAGCCCCAGAUCCUUCUGGCCUCCACCCAGCAAUCCUUCUCUGGAGAAGCCAGGAUUCAGUGGAAAUUCAGCAACGGUGAGCACUUGACUUAUUCCCCUAGGGAUAUGGCGCAUUAGUCACCCCAUAAACAUUU
rnacentral:lncRNA from 13 species